rnacentral:rRNA from 1 species
GAUGAACGCUGGCGGCGUGCCUAAUACAUGCAAGUCGAGCGGACGGACGAGAAGCUUGCUUCUCUGACGUUAGCGGCGGACGUGUGAGUAACAUGUGGAUAACCUACCUAUAAGACUGGGAUCACUUGGGGACACGGGAGCUAACACCGGCUAAUCUCUUGAACCACAUGGUUCAAUAGUGAAAUACGGUCUUGCUGUCACUUAUAGAUGGAUCCGCGCUGCAUUAGCUAGUUGGUAAGGUAACGGCUUACCAAGGCAACGAUGCAUAGCCGACCUGAGAGGGUGAUCGGCCACACUGGAACUGAGACACGGCCCAGACUCCUACGGGAGGCAGCAGUAGGGAAUCUUGCGCAAUGGGCGAAAGCCUGACGGAGCAACGCCGCGUGAGUGAUGAAGGUCUUCGGAUCGUAAAACUCUGUUAUUAGGGAAGAACAGAUGUGUAAGUAACUGUGCAGAGCUUGACGGUACCUGAUCAGAAAGCCACGGCUAACUACGUG